CGGGGGGCAGCAGUGGGGAAUAUUGCGCAAUGGACGAAAGUCUGACGCAGCGACGCCGCGUGAGGGAUGAAGGUCUUCGGAUUGUAAACCUCUUUCAGCAGGGACGAAGCGAAAGUGACGGUACCUGCAGAAGAAGCACCGGCUAACUACGUGCCAGCAGCCGCGGUAAUACGUAGGGUGCAAGCGUUGUCCGGAUUUAUUGGGCGUAAAGAGCUCGUAGGCGGUUUGACACGUCGGAUGUGAAAACUCGGAGCUUAACUCCGAGCCUGCAUUCGAUACGGUCUAACUAGAGUGUGGUAGGGGAAACUGGAAUUCCUGGUGUAGCGGUGAAAUGCGCAGAUAUCAGGAGGAACACCAAUGGCGAAGGCAGGUUUCUGGGCCACCACUGACGCUGAGGAGCGAAAGCGUGGGGAGCGAACAGGAUUAGAUACCCGAGU
rnacentral:rRNA from 1 species